ACGUACGCUGGCGGCAUGCCUAACCCAUGCCAGUCGAACGAGACCUUCGGGUCUAGUGGCGCACGGGUGCGUAACGCGUGGGAACCUGCCCUUAGGUUCGGAAUAACUCCCCGAAAGGGGUGCUAAUACCGGAUAAUGUCUUCGGACCAAAGAUUUAUCGCCUUUGGAUGGGCCCGCGUUGGAUUCGCUAGUUGGUAGGGUAAAAGCCUACCAAGGCGACGAUCCAUAGCUGGUCUGAGAGGAUGAUCAGCCACACUGGGACUGAGACACGGCCCAGACUCCUACGGGAGGCAGCAGUGGGGAAUAUUGGACAAUGGGCGAAAGCCUGAUCCAGCAAUGCCGCGUGAGUGAUGAAGGCCUUAGGGUUGUAAAGCUCUUUUACCCGGGAUGAUAAUGACAGUACCGGGAGAAUAAGCUCCGGCUAACUCCGUG
rnacentral:rRNA from 1 species